CGAAGGGUGCAAGCGUUAAUCGGAAUUACUGGGCGUAAAGCGCGCGUAGGCGGUUUGAUAAGUUGGAUGUGAAAGCCCCGGGCUCAACCUGGGAAUUGCAUCCAAAACUGUCUGACUAGAGUACGGUAGAGGGUGGUGGAAUUUCCUGUGUAGCGGUGAAAUGCGUAGAUAUAGGAAGGAACAUCAGUGGCGAAGGCGACCACCUGGACUGAUACUGACGCUGAGGUGCGAAAGCGUGGGGGAGCAAACAGGAUU
rnacentral:rRNA from 1 species